AACGAACGCUGGUGGCAUGCCUAACACAUGCAAGUCGAACGAGACCUUCGGGUCUAGUGGCGCACGGGUGCGUAACGCGUGGGAAUCUACCCUUGGGUUCGGAAUAACUCAGAGAAAUUUGAGCUAAUACCGGAUGAUGUCGCAAGACCAAAGAUUUAUCGCCCAAGGAUGAGCCCGCGUAGGAUUAGCUUGUUGGUGAGGUAAAAGCUCACCAAGGCGACGAUCCUUAGCUGGUCUGAGAGGAUGAUCAGCCACACUGGGACUGAGACACGGCCCAGACUCCUACGGGAGGCAGCAGUGGGGAAUAUUGGACAAUGGGCGAAAGCCUGAUCCAGCAAUGCCGCGUGAGUGAUGAAGGCCUUAGGUUGUAAGACUCUUUACCCGGGUACUGAUAAUAGACAGUACCGGGAGAAGUAAAGACCCCGGCCGUAACUACCGUC
rnacentral:rRNA from 1 species